AAUUUAUUUUUAAAUUUUUUAAAUAAGAUGUCAUAAUCUAAGUUUUUAAUAAUGUAUAUUCAUAAUUAUAUAAAAAAAUUAAAUAAAGUUGUACAGCCCAAUUUUAGGCCCAAAAUUAAAAUAACCCCAAACCCAAUACUCAGAUUAAACCACAAUCCUUAGCCCAAACAAAUCAAAACCCUAGCCCAACCCAAACACAAACAAAAGAAAGACGCUAAGAAAACCCUAAGUUGCUUCAGCCACUUGCUCCCUGUCCCAUCCACCACCGCCUUUGCUCCCACCGACAGGUCAAGUCCACCGCCAUUCACCUGCAAGCAUUAAACGAGAGAAGACAGAAAGCAAAAAGGAGCAGUGUGCACAAAUAUAUAAACCAAAACGAAAUUGUAAAAAGCAUUCGGUUUUUUCGGUGAGAAAUAAAAAGAAGCACUUAAUUUUAAAACACAAAAUCAGUAAGUCAAAGGCACAAAAUAUCCAAUCAAGAGAAAAACAUUAAAAGAAGAAACGAAAACAUAGAAUCAAAAAUUAGGGGAACAAAAGAUGAUUUCAUUUUCUUUCGAUUUGUUUCGUUUUUCUUUCUUUUCUAUUUUCCACGCCCUUUUAUUCGCAUAUAUUCAUAUAUUGUAAACAAAAAUAAUGAUAGAAAAAAAGAAGAAAAAAUAUACCUUCUGGGAAUUUCGACCACCGCGUGCGGUGGCAGGCGACGGUGGCGGAUCGGCAACGGCGGGAGCGCGUGGUGGCCCUCCUCGCCGGAAUCUGGGGUUUUCCCAGAGAGAAGGGAAGAACUCUUCCCUUUAUUUUUCUGAAGCAGCAAAAGAAU
rnacentral:lncRNA from 1 species